GACGAACGCUGGCGGCGUGCUUAACACAUGCAAGUCGAACGAAGAGCGAUGGAAGCUUGCUUCUAUCAAUCUUAGUGGCGAACGGGUGAGUAACGCGUAAUCAACCUGCCCUUCAGAGGGGGACAACAGUUGGAAACGACUGCUAAUACCGCAUACGAUCUAAUCUCGGCAUCGAGGAUAGAUGAAAGGUGGCCUCUACAUGUAAGCUAUCACUGAAGGAGGGGAUUGCGUCUGAUUAGCUAGUUGGAGGGGUAACGGCCCACCAAGGCGAUGAUCAGUAGCCGGUCUGAGAGGAUGAACGGCCACAUUGGGACUGAGACACGGCCCAGACUCCUACGGGAGGCAGCAGUGGGGAAUCUUCCGCAAUGGACGAAAGUCUGACGGAGCAACGCCGCGUGAGGGAUGACGGCCGUCGGGUUGUAAAGCUCUGUUAAUCGGGACGAAAGGCCUUCUUGCGAAUAGUGAGAAGGAUUGACGGUACCGGAAUAGAAAGCCACGGCUAACUACGUG
rnacentral:rRNA from 1 species